UUUUGCCAGGUCCCCCAAAGGGGAACCACCCAUUCUUUGGGCCAAUUCACGCCCAAGUCCCAGGGGAUGGAUAAGGGUUUUUGCGCGUGCUUUUGAAAAUAAAACCCCACAAGUGUCCCCCCCCUUUUCGGGUUUAUAUAGUUUUUUUUUUUCUGCUCAGAGCGAACGCUGGCGGCAGGCUUAACACAUGCAAGUCGAGCGGGCCCUUUCGGGGUCAGCGGCAGACGGGUGAGUAACACGUGGGAACGUGCCCUUCGGUUCGGAAUAACUCAGGGAAACUUGAGCUAAUACGGGAUACGCCCUUUUGGGGAAAGGUUUACUGCCCGAGGGAUCGGCCCCGCGUCUGAUAAGCUAGUUGGUGGGGGUAACGGGCCUACCCAAGGCGACCGAUCAGUAGCUGGUCUGAGAAGGAAUGGAUCAGCCCACACUGGGACUGAGACACGGGCCCAGACUCCUUACGGGGAGGCAGCAGUGGGGGAAUAUUUGGACAAAUGGGGCGCAAAGCCUGAUCCAGCCCAUGCCCGCGUUGAGUGAUGAAGGCCUUAGGGGUUGUAAAAGCUCUUUUUGUCCGGGACGAUAAUGACGGUACCGGGAAGAAUAAGCCCCGGCUAACUUCGUGCCAGCAGCCGCGGUAAUACGAAGGGGGCUAGCGUUGCUCGGAAUCACUGGGCGUAAAGGGCGCGUAGGCGGCUUUUUAAGUCGGGGGUGAAAGCCUGUGGCUCAACCACAGAAUUGCCUUCGAUACUGGAAAGCUUGAGACCGGAAGAGGACAGCGGAACUGCGAGUGUAGAGGUGAAAUUCGUAGAUAUUCGCAAGAACACCAGUGGCGAAGGCGGCUGUCUGGUCCGGUUCUGACGCUGAGGCGCGAAAGCGUGGGGAGCAAACAGGAUUAGAUACCCUGGUAGUCCACGCCGUAAACGAUGAAUGCCAGCCGUUGGUCUGCUUGCAGGUCAGUGGCGCCGCUAACGCAUUAAGCAUCCGCCUGGGAGAUCGCACUUUU
rnacentral:rRNA from 1 species